UAAAAACAUUUGGACAGCGGGGAGCCCAUUUCUUGCCUCCCCCCCCUUUCUCCCUCUCUUUCUCUAAGUAUUUUUCUAAAAAGGGAGCGCCCUCUCGUCUUGGCCCCGGGGUGCCCGGGCUUUGUGACAGUGGGGCAGGCAGGCAGGACAGGGCGAGGGGAACCGGGGUGGGAGGGAAGAGGUGGGGGCCAGUCGCCCCCCUUCCCUUCUUGCCAUGUGCCCUUAAGACACGGGGAGCCCUGCCUGGUGUCUCAGAAUCCCUCCCUCCCUGGCAGGAGCCUGGCACGAGACUAAGAGCUACCGGUGCCCGCCCGCCCGCAGCGCGCUGGGAUUCUAGGGACACUCAAGAAAGAAACCCGGAAUUGGAGACCUGCCUGCUCCCAGGACAUAGAGCUUGGAAUUCCCUGAUUGUGCUGGGAAUGCCAAGGGGCAGCUGGGUGGCACAGUGGAUAGAGCACCAGCACUGAAGUCAGGCGGACCUGAGUUCAAAUCUGGCCUCAGAUACUUAACACGUCCUAGCUGUGUGACCCUGGGCAAGUCACUUAACCCCAAUUGCCUCAGGAAAAAAAAAGAAUUGCCACAAUUUGGUUCUCCAGCAGUAUGUGGUUAGCAUUUAUAGAUUGUCCUAAAACUCUCAUUCUCUGUACCCUCUGCCCCCUUUCUGCCUUAUAAAUAGUAGAUACUUAAUAAACAUUUGUCGA